rnacentral:rRNA from 1 species
AGUUAAAAAGCUCGUAGUUGGAUUUCUGCGGGGGCGGGGCGGCCGGAUGCUUAUAGCAUCUCGAGCUAGCACUUCCCCCGCAUCCUGCCGCGAACCGUGCUACCAUUAGUUUGGUGGCGCUGGGGAUCGGCUCGUUUACUUUGAGAAAAAUAGAGUGUUCAAUGCAGGCCACACGCCUUGAAUAAGUUAGCAUGGAAUAAUGAUAAAGGACUUCGGUUCUAUUUUGUUGGUGUUCGGGACUGAAGUAAUGAUUGAUAGGGACAGUUGGGGCGGUCAGUAUUCCAAAGCGAGAGGUGAAAUUCUUAGACCUUCGGAAGACUAACAGCUGCGAAAGCGUUCCGCAAGGAUGUUCCCUUUGAUCAAGAACGAAAGUUGGGGGAUCGAAGACGAUCAGAUACCGUCGUAGUCUCAACUAUAAACUAUACCAGCUAGGGAUCGGCCGACGUUUACUUAUAUCGACUCGGUCGGCACCUUAUGAGAAAUCAAAGCAUCUGGGUUCCGGGGGGAGUAUGGUCGCAAGGCUGAAACUUAAAGGAAUUGACGGAAGGGCACCACCAGCCGUGGAGCCUGCGGUUUAAAUUUGACUCAACACGGGAAAACUUACCAGGUCCAGACAUAGUAAGGAUUGACAGAUGGAUAGCUCUUUCUUGAUUCUGUGGGUGGUGGUGCAUGGC